GGUUUAAUUCGAAGCAACGCGAAGAACCUUACCAGGGCUUGACAUCCACCGAACCCUGUGGAAACACGGGGGUGCCCUUCGGGGAAAGGUGAGACACGUGGUGCAUGGUUGUCGUCAGCUCGUGUCGUGAGAUGUUGGGUUAAGUCCCGCAACGAGCGCAACCCUUGCCUUUAGUUGCCAGCACUUCKGGUGGGCACUCUAAAGGGACUGCCUGGGUUAACCAGGAGGAAGGUGGGGAUGACGUCAAAUCAUCAUGCCCCUUAUGCUCUGGGCUACACACGUGCUACAAUGGCCGGUACAAUGAGUUGCAAACCCGUGAGGGGGAGCUAAUCUCAAAAACCGGUCCCAGUUCGGAUUGUAGGCUGCAACUCGCCUACAUGAAGCCGGAGUUGCUAGUAAUCGCGGAUCAGCAUGCCGCGGUGAAUACGUUCCCGGGCCUUGUACACACCGCCCGUCACACCAUGAGAGCCGGCAACACCCGAAGCCAGUGGGCUAACCCGCAAGGGAGGCAGCUGUCGAAGGUGGGGCUGGUGAUUGGGGUGAAGUCGUAACAAGGUAGCCGUAGGAGAACCUGCGGCUGGAUCACCUCCUUU
rnacentral:ncRNA from 1 species